UACGUAGGUGGCAAGCGUUGUCCGGAUUUACUGGGCGUAAAGGGCGUGCAGGCGGCUUGUUAAGUGCAGGGUGAAAGCUCCCGGCUCAACUGGGAGAGGUUCUUGCAUACUGGCGAACUCGAGGGAGGCAGAGGAAAGUGGAAUUCCCGGUGUAGCGGUGAAAUGCGUAGAUAUUGGGAGGAACACCAGUGGCGAAGGCGGCUCACUGGACCGGAACUGACGCUGAGGCGCGAAAGCGUGGGGAGCAAACAGG
rnacentral:rRNA from 1 species